CCAUUUGAAGCUAUGGUAAAGAAUCGAUUAUUAAGGAGUUCGUUUUGAACAUCCUGAUAUCGAUCUUUUUCCAUAGGUUUUAAUGGUAGAUCAAUCGAUACAUCGCAAAAGUACGUCUCUAACCACGAGAAAGAAGGAGGCAAUCGAUGCAAAAGCUUGCAAUGUGGAGAAUGGCACCUCAAGAAACAGAUUUGAUACCCAACAAAAGCUCUACACGAAACAUAGACUUAUGUUUCUUCGCGAAGGGGCCUCACUCCAAAUAGAGUAAAGAGUAGAAACAAUGAAUAUCUUUCAUCAGCAAUUCAAUUUAACAUUUAUUUACAGGUAACGUCUUUAAAAAUCAAGUACAAUCCAUUCGCAAAAGCCUUUUAGAUGCUAAGGAAAGACCGUCGGAGAAUGCGUAUCAAAGAGAGACCAACACUUCCCAGUCUUCUCAGUAUUCACAAUGCAAAAGUAUUACAGCGAGUUCGUGGCUAGUGCCGUCGGUUCAAAGUUCUGUCCAUUCAAGUUAUGACCGAAGUUUAUCGAGUAGCAGACAUCACAGGCACUCACCGUAUCCUCCAAGAUCCAUACCAAAUUCUCAAUCCUCACAAUCAAUCGGCGGAUACCCAUGCGACCUGCCAUCGGACUCGACAUCCCCAGCGGGUCUCUGCUCAGUGGCUAGCUUCAGCUGGGGGGCCCAGAGCCCACCCCCGCUCUUCAGCUCCUCCAUCUCGCCGCCACCCCCGCUGGCCAUCAUCACGACCUCGCAGUCCCCCAUGACGUGCCCCUCACCCGUCUCCAACUACUCCGGCUGGCACCCCUUCCCGCCUCCGCCGCCGCCCCCCGACCAAUACCCCUUGCACCACUACCAACACGAGUACAUCCCCCUGCCGAUCAUCCACUCGGAGUACCACCAUCCUCUCGUGGACGCCAACGAGCGGUGCAACCUCUUCGUGGACUACGACCACGCCCGCAUGGCCCAGGUCAAGGAGGAGGAGGCCUACCGGGAGCAACUGUCACCCCCCGCCCCACCGCCCCAGAGAAGCCCCUUCGUCAUCGAUUCCUGGCCCCAGCUCACCACUGCGCCCACGCACACCAACCUGUAGCGCUGCCAAAAAGUAUGACGAUAGGCAAAUGAUUCGGUAGUGCUGGUCACAUAUUGGAAAAGAAAGUCUCUUAGACAGAUUUUCUCUUGAAUGAAAAGGAGAUCCGCUUAAAUUAAGUGGCUUGGCUUUCGAUUCAGGCAAAAAUCUGAUUGAAUAGAGGGUACUUUUUCUUGUCAAUUUUUUUUAAAUUGGCAUGCUGAUUGUUGGUAUUAGUAGACAAAUAAGACAAAAAGGAUAUGAAGGGAUCCUAUCGGUGGAAGCGUGUGGUUGAAAUGGACAAAGAAGGUAGGUAUAGACUAUUAACGACAACCCGCGAGAGACCCUUUAGUUAGUCCAUCAUGUGUUCCCUUAGUCUAUAACAACCCAUUUCAACCAUUAGGAUCGCUUUAUGCUCCUGGUGUCUUCUUUGUCUAUCAAUUUCAACAAUCAGCCUGAUGACUCUUAAGAAAUUUGACGAGAAAAAGUAUCCUCGAUUCAAUCAGAUGUUUGCCUACAUUGAGAGCCAAGCCAUUUAAUUUAAGCGGAUCUCCUUUUGAUUCAAGCAAAAAUCUGUACUUUUUCUUGUCAAAGAGCCUCGCCAAGUUUAGCCCCUUUUUGUAUACCCGAGUUGAUCAACCGGACAGUGCUCAAAUGAAAGCCUAUAGUAAGGCAAACUUCCAUGCAAAGUUUCAACUUGAAGUGACCCCUCGUUUAGGCUGUACAGCGUUGCCAAUUUUCCAUUUUCAUGUGCUAAAAUCAAGGAAUUCUGGACUAUUAGUCCGGUGCAUAAGUAGACUAGGACACCCGUGUUGGUCAACUGGACACGGCUAAAAUGAAAGCUUAUGGUAAGGCAAACUUCCAUGCAAAGUUUCAACUUGAAGUGACCCCUCGUUUAGGCUGUACAGCGUUGCCAAUUUUCCAUUUUCAUGUGCUAAAAUCAAGGAAUUCUGGACUAUUAGUCCGGUGCAUAAGUAGACUAGGACACCCGUGUUGGUCAACUGGACACGGCUAAAAUGAAAGCUUAUGGUAAGGCAAACUUCCAUGCAAAGUUUCAACUUGAAGUGACCCCUCGUUUAGGCUGUACAGCGUUGCCAAUUUUCCAUUUUUAUGCGCUCUACUCAAGGAAUACUGGAUCAUCAUGGUUCAACAGGCUAGUACACCCGAGUUAGUCAACGGGACAAGCCUCAAACAAAAGCUUAUGGUAAGGCAAACUUCCAGAAAAAAAUUCAACUUGAAGUGACACCUCGUUUAGGCUGCACAGCGUUGCCAAUUUUCCAUUUUUAUGUGCAAAAAUUGAGGCAUUCUGAAUCAUCAUGGUUCAACAGACUAGUACACCCAAGUUGGUCAUCGAGACAAGACUCAAACGAAAGCUUAUGGUAAGGCAAACUUCCAGAAAAAAAUUCAACUUGAAGUGACACCUCGUUUAGGCUGUACAGCGUUGCCAAUUUUCCAUUUUAUGCGCUCUACUCAAGGAAUACUGGAUCAUCAUGGUUCAACAGGCUAGUACACCCGAGUUGGUCAACGGGACAAGCCUCAAACGAAAGCUUAUGGUAAGGCAAACUUCCAGAAAAAAAUUCAACUUGAAGUGACACCUCGUUUAGGCUGCACAGCGUUGCCAAUUUUCCAUUUUUAUGUGCAAAAAUCAAGGAAUUCGGUACUAAUAGUCCAGUGCAUUAUAAUUAAACAGACUAGUGCAUCGGGCUACGAGCUGAAUACUACCCUGAGAUCGAAUAGAAGCGCAACUAAAGGCCAUCGUGGACUUUUCGAAGCAGUGUUGCCAAUUUAUCAUUAAUUUUUUUAACAUAAAAUUAUGGUAUUUUCGAGAUUUUUGGCGGAAAACGUACCUUCAUGGGCAACACUGCUUCGAAAAGUUCACGAUGGCCUUUAGUUGCGCUUCUAUUCGAUCUCAGGGUAGUAUUCAGCUCGUAGACCGAUGCACUAGUCUGUUUAAUUAUGAUGCACUGGACUAUUAGUCCCGAAUUCCUUGAUUUUAGCACAUAAAAAUGGAAAAUUGGCAACGCUGUACAGCCUAAACGAGGAGUCACUUCAAGUUGAAUUUUUUUCUGGAAGUUUGCCUUACCAUAAGCUUUCGUUUGAGCCUUGCCUCGAUGACCAACUCGGGUGUACUAGCCUGUUGAACCAUGAUGAUCCAGUAUUCCUUGAAUAGAGCGCUUAAAAAUGGAAAAUUGGCAACGCUGUACAGCCUAAACGAGGUGUCACUUCAAGUUGAAUUUUUUUCUGGAAGUUUGCCUUACCAUUAGCUUUCGUUUGAGGCUUGUCCCGUUGACCAACUCGGGUAUACUAGUCUGUUGAACCAUGAUGAUCCAGUAUUCCUUGAGUAGAGCGCAUAAAAAUGGAAAAUUGGCAACGCUGUACAGCCUAAACGAGGUGUCACUUCAAGUUGAAUUUUUUUCUGGAAGUUUGCCUUACCAUAAGCUUUCGUUUGAGGCUUGUCCCGUUGACCAACUCGGGUAUACAAAAAGGGGCUAAAAAACACCACUUUUGGCGAGGCUCUUUGUUGAUAGUCUGGACUCUGGAUCCAACAGACUUUUUAUCAAGCGCAGAAUCGAGUUUUAAUGCUUGCAUUUUGAAGAUCAGCAAAAAAUAAUAAGAUCUGCAGGAGUGUAAGGUCCGAUUUACGUUUUUAGAGCCCUUGGGGUGGGAGUUUCCAGACCUUCUCUACCUUCCAGAUUAACAAUAAGAAGGUUUCAAAUCCGCCUAUAAAAAACAUGAUUUCAAAUAGUUUUGAGGUGUACGUGCGUCCUUUCGAGAAAAUAUAGAUGUUCGAAAAAAAGGAUUUGGAAAAUAAAAAGCGACGAAAACAUUGAAAUACAAUUUUUAAUACGCGGGUUUUUAACCAUUAGGAAGUCCAAAAUUUAAACCCUUUUGUAAUGUGCGGUAACUUCAAUACCUACAGUUAAUCAACAUGUUCCCAGUUCAUUGAUAAAACCAAACUUAUAAUCAUGAUCUUUCCUUUUGGAUGGGGGAAUCAUCCAUUUUUCUGUAGAUAUAAAACGUAUAGGAAUUAAACCAACCCAUUGAUUGAAAAGGGAUGCAGAUUAUUAUAUAAGACCAAUUAAAUAAAUACCGUAUACUUGAGCCCCAUAUAAUCCGUAUAAUCCCUGUGAAUUGUACAUAGAGAAGUCAUUAUAAUUAUUUAAUUCAGAAAUAUAAUAAUUUAUUUUGUAUAUUGUCAAUUUGUAAAUAAUGGGAUGCUCAUAAUACCAAUUUUGAGCACGAUUUCAAUCCGAAAUAUCAGAUAUCGUGUAAUUUCGAACGAUUGAAAGAAUAAUCUCUGUGACAUUGGAGUAAAUGUACUAAACAGUUGGUAUCCUCUGAUCUUCACUUCCGUCGAUGAAUAUUGUAUGGCGAACGGUUAGGUUUUUGUACAUUUUUGUUAUUAUUAAAAGUUGAAACAAAAUAAAACUGUAAGUAA
rnacentral:lncRNA from 1 species